CAGUUCAGAUUGAGGGCUGCAACUUGCCCUCAUGAAGAUGGAAUCGCUAGUAAUCGCGGAUCAGCAUGCCGCGGUGAAUACGUUCUCGAGUCUUGUACUCACCGCCCGUCAUACCAAGGGAGCUGGGAGUGCCUUAAUUCUGACUUUAUGUCGGACCACGGCAAGCUCAGUAACAAGGGUGAAGUCGUAACAAGGCAUCCGUAGCGGAAGCUGCGGAUGGAUCAUCUCCUUU
rnacentral:rRNA from 1 species